AAUGCAGUCGGACGGGAUUGAAAUUAAAGCUUGCUUUGAUUUCAUGAGAGUGGCGCACGGGUGCGUAACGCGUGAGCAACCUACCCAUAUCAGGGGGAUAGCCUCUCGAAAGAGAGAUUAACACCGCAUAACAUCAUUUACCGGCAUCGGAUUAUGAUCAAAUAUUUAUAGGAUAUGGAUGGGCUCGCGUGACAUUAGCUAGUUGGAGGGGUAACGGCCCACCAAGGCUACGAUGUCUAGGGGCUCUGAGAGGAGAAUCCCCCACACUGGUACUGAGACACGGACCAGACUCCUACGGGAGGCAGCAGUAAGGAAUAUUGGUCAAUGGAGGGAACUCUGAACCAGCCAUGCCGCGUGCAGGAUGACUGCCCUAUGGGUUGUAAACUGCUUUUGUCAGGGAAUAAACCUUUCCACGUGUGGGAAGCUGAAUGUACCUGAAGAAUAAGGAUCGGCUAACUCCGUGCCAGCAGCCGCGGUAAUACGGAGGAUCCAAGCGUUAUCCGGAUUUAUUGGGUUUAAAGGGUGCGUAGGCGGUCCUAUAAGUCAGUGGUGAAAGACGGCAGCUUAACUGUCGCAGUGCCUUUGAUACUGUAGGACUUGAAUCUAUUUGAAGUGGGCGGAAUAAGACAAGUAGCGGUGAAAUGCAUAGAUAUGUCUUAGAACUCCGAUUGCGAAGGCAG
rnacentral:rRNA from 1 species